UGCUUGCUUGAGCUCUAAUAAAAGCCACUCUUUGGAGCCCUUCAUCCUCGGCCUCUUAUGUCUUCUUCUGGUUUAAGAGAAACAUCACUCUGCUCCAACAAAGCUCUCCAGAUGAUUCUGAACAGUGAGGAAGAAUUCUAAUUUUCCUCAGAAAAAGAUUGCGACUCUGAUGAGAAAUGCUUGCAUUUUAAAUAUUGACUUGAUCCAGCAUAGGAUACAAUUUCUGAUGAACAUAUCCAUUGAAGCAAAGAAUUGUGGGCUGUGAAUGCCCACAAAGGAUACACCUCAUGCAUCCUCCGAAUUCCCGUGAAAGAAGGUCGCAUUCGAAGGCUGCAUUCGAAGUGUCCUACUCGCUUUUCUGAAACGAGACAGCCUCGAUGAUGUAUGUGGCUGACAAAUGCGUAGGAUGCAGCCUUCCAAAUGAGACACAGCCAUGUUCAGCGUCUUAAAGUUGAAAUGUGUUGAUGAGACCUACGUGCAAUGCUGCGGCUUAUUUUGAUCACCACUGGCAGCCAUGUACAAGAUGUUCCUGAGUGUAAUUGGAUUGUGUUUACACUAUUGUAUACAGCUGGACCUUAUGAAUGGGACAUGCAAGGCUUCCCAGUUCUGGAUCAAUAAAAUGACAGAUUCAUGGAAAGGAACAGAUGCAAUUAACCAAUCAGCAGCACUGCUUGUGGACUGUGGGUACAGAUGUCAACAGAGAGAUCCAGAGCAGUAAAACUUCCCAUAAAUGCUACUUAGAUUAAUUCCCAGCCUGUCAAGCUUUAGCAGAAAAAAAGGAAGUUAUGGCACACAGCUUUAUUUUCACAGGCUGCAAGUCUUUGCAAAACAAUGUCCCAACAUACUACGUCAAUGGUGAAAUCUGAAACGCAAGUUAUGCAUCCCACUUUGGCUGUUCAACUUAAAAAAAAAAUAAAAAAAUUAAAAAAAUCA